UUCGCAGGCGGCGUAUUAAGUCAGUGGUGAAAUCCCUCGGCUCAACCGAGGAACUGCCAUUGAUACUGGUAUGCUAGAGUAUAGUUGGCGUAGGCGGAAUGUAUCAUGUAGCGGUGAAAUGCUUAGAUAUGAUACAGAACACCGAUCGCGAAGGCCGCUUACGAAACUAUAACUGACGCUCAGGAACGAAAGCGUGGGGAGCGAACAGGAUUAGAUACCCUGGUAGUCC
rnacentral:rRNA from 1 species